rnacentral:rRNA from 1 species
UCGCAAAAUAAUGGUUAUAAUUAAAUGGCUAUGAGGAUGGUUUUAGUACGUAGGCGUUGCGGAACUUCGAUUCAUAUAGAGCAAUGAAUCGUGCAUGCUACGAAAACUGUGCACACACAGUGUUGGCAGACCUAGUAUCUUUCGAAGAUUUCCAUACCUCCGCGAUCAAAAAAAAAAAAAAAUAGCCAAAUGCCUAGUCAUCUAAUUAGUGACGCGCAUGAAUGGAUUAACGAGAUUCCUACUGUCCCUAUCUACUAUCUAGCGAAACCACAGCCAAGGGCUUGGAAUAAUUAGCGGGGAAAGAAGACCCUUUUGAGCUUGGCUCUAAUCUGGCAGUGUAAGGAGACAUAAGAGGUGUAGAAUAAGUGGGAGAUAUUAGACCUCGGUUUGCUAUCGUCAAUGAAAUGCCACUACUCUUAUUGUUUCCUUACUUAGUUGAUUAAAUGGAACGUGUAUCGUUUCCUAUCAAUUAUAUGGAUAUAUUAUUCUCAAAUUUAAAUGGGUAAGAACCUAAACUUUCUUGAUAUGAAGUUCAAGGUUAUGAUAUAAUGUGCCCAGUGUGCCACUUUUGGUAAGCAGAACUGGAGCUGUGGAAUGAACCAAACGUAAUGUUAGGGUGCCCAAAUUAACAACUCAAGCAGAUACAAUGAAAGUCGUUAGUUGCUUAAAACAGCAGGACGGUAAUCAUGGAAGGCGAAAUCCGAUAAGGAGUGUGUAACAACUCAUCUGCCGACGCAACUAGCCCUUAAAAUGAAUGGCGCUAAUGUUGUAUACUUAUACAUACAUACCGCUAAAGUAGAUGAUUUAUAUUACUUGUGAUAUAAAUUUUGAAACUUUAGAUAGUAGGAAGGUACAAUGGUAAGCGCAGAAGUGUUUGGCGUAAGCCUGCAUGGAGCUGCCAUUGGUACGGAUCUUGGUGGUAGUAUUAAAUAAUCGAGUGAGACCUUGGAAAACUGAGGUGGAGAAGAUUUCGUGUGAACAGUGGUUGAUCACGAGUUAGUCUGUCCUAAGUUCAAGGCGAAAGCCAAAAAUGUUCAAGUAAAACAAAAAUGCCUAACUAUAUUAGGCAUACACUUGAAUAAUUUUGAACGAAAGGGAAUACGGUUCCAAUUCCGUAACCUGUUGAGUAUACGUUUGUUAUUAAAUAUGGUCCUCGUGCUCAUCAUGGCAACAUAAACGACCAUAAAAAAGCCGUUGAGAGAUAUCAGAAGAGUUUUCUUUUCUGUUUUAUAGCCGUACUACCAUGGAAGUCUUUCACAGAGAGAUAUGGUAGAUGGGCUAGAAGAGCAUGACAUAUACUGUUGUGUCGAUAUUUUCUCCUCGGACCUUGAAAAUUUAUGGUGGGGACACGCAAACUUCUCAACAGGCCGUACCAAUAUCCGCAGCUGGUCUCCAAGGUGAAGAGUCUCUAGUCGAUAGAAUAAUGUAGGUAAGGGAAGUCGGCAAAUUAGAUCCGUAACUUCGGGAUAAGGAUUGUCUCUGUAGAUUGAGAUAGUCGGGCUUGAUUGGGAAACAAUAACAUGGUUUAUGUGCUCGUUCUGGGUAAAUAGAGUUUCUAGCAUUUAUGUUAGUUACUUGUUCCUCGGAUAGUUUAGUUACGUAGCCAAUUGUGGAACUUUCUUGCUAAAAUUUUUAAGAAUAAUAUUUGGGGGUGUUGAAACAAUGUGAUUUCUGCCCAGUGCUCUGAAUGUCAAAGUGAAGAAAUUCAAGUAAGCGUGGGUCAACGGCGGGAGUAACUAUGACUUCCUUAAGUGAAGCAGGGUGACCCUUUGUCUCGUAUUCUAUUCAACUUGGUAAUGGACAGGUUACUUAGAACCUUACCAAGCGCAAUUGGUGCCAAAGUCGGGAAUGCCAUUACUAACGCGGCCGCGUUUGCAGAUGAUUUGGUACUAAUUGCGGAAUCUCGGAUCGGGCUUCAAGUAUUGUUGUACAAGACGUUGGAUUUUCCAUCUAUCGUCGGCCUCAAACUUAAUGCCGACAAAUGUUUUAACGUUGGCAUUAAGGGCCAGCCGAAACAGAAGUGUACCGUGUAGAGGCACAGAGCUUCUACGUAGGCUCGAGUGAGAUUCCAUCACUGAAGCGCACGGACGAGUGGAAGUACUUAGGCAUCAACUUCACUGCAACCGGGAGGGUUCGAUGCAAUCCGGCCGAGGACAUUGGUCCAAAGCUACAAAGAUUGACAAAGGCUCCCCUCAAAUAACAACAGAGGUUGUUCGCCCUUCGGACUGUCCUUAUCCCACAGCUCUACCACAAGUUAGCCCUUGGGAGUGUGGCGAUAGGCGUCCUAAGAAAAACUGAUAAACUUAUAAGAUAUUAUGUGCGAAGAUGGCUAAAUCUUCCGCUGGAUGUGCCGAUAGCAUUUGUUCAUGCACCCCCAAAAAGUGGAGGUCUCGGAAUUCCAUCACUAAGAUGGGUAGCUCCAAUGUUAAGGCUAAGACGCUUGAGUAACAUUAAAUGGCCUCACCUCACGCAAAACGAGGUAGCCAGCUCUUUCCUCGAAGCCGAAAAACAACGGGCCCGAGAUAGAUUAUUAGCUGAACAAAAUGAACUGUUAUCGCGUCCGGCAAUAGAAAAAUAUUGGGCGAACAAGUUGU